rnacentral:rRNA from 1 species
AACGCUGGCGGCAGGCCUAACACAUGCAAGUCGAACGGUAACAGGAUUAGCUUGCUAAUCGCUGACGAGUGGCGGACGGGUGAGUAAUGCUUGGGAACUUGCCUUUGCGAGGGGGAUAACAGUUGGAAACGACUGCUAAUACCGCAUAAUGUCUUCGGACCAAACGGGGCUGCGGCUCCGGCGCAAAGAGAGGCCCAAGUGAGAUUAGCUAGUUGGUGAGGUAAGAGCUCACCAAGGCGACGAUCUCUAGCUGUUCUGGGAGGAAGACCAGCCACACUGGGACUGAGACACGGCCAAGACUCCUACGGGAGGCAGCAGUGGGGAAUAUUGCACAAUGGGGGAAACCCUGAUGCAGCCAUGCCGCGUGUGUGAAGAAGGCCUUCGGGUUGUAAAGCACUUUCAGUUGUGAGGAAAAGUUAGUAGUUAAUACCUGCUAGCCGUGACGUUAACAACAGAAGAAGCACCGGCUAACUCCGUGCCAGCAGCCGCGGUAAUAC